rnacentral:rRNA from 1 species
CCUACGGGUGGCUGCAGUGGGGAAUAGUGCACAAUGGGGGAAACCCUGAUGCAGCGACGCCGCGUGAGUGAAGAAGUAUUUCGGUAUGUAAAGCUCUAUCAGCAGGGAAGAUAAUGACGGUACCUGAGUAAGAAGCCCCGACUAACUACGUACCCGCCGCCGCGGUAAUACGUAGGGGGCGAGCUUUAUCCGGAUUUACUGGGUGUAAGGGGGGCGUGGGCGGGAUGGCAAGUCUGAAGUGAAAGCCCGGGGCUAAACGGCGGGACUGCUUUGGAAACUGUUAAGCUGGAGUGCAGGAGAGGUAAGUGGAAUGCCUAGUGGAGCGGUGAAAUGCGUAGAUAGUAGGAGGAACACCAGUGGCGAAGGCGGCUUACUGGACUGUAACUGACGUUGAGGCUCGAAAGCGUGGGGAGCAAACAGGAUUAGAUACCCUAGUAGUC